AAUAAUACUUCUAGAACAAUACAACUCCCUUUGCCCAAGAUGUCUGUCACACUCACCAAAUUCAGGCUAAGAGUCACUUAUGAAAAUCAGUUGGAUUGCUUUAAAGUCAUUCCUCAUUUUUCACCUAAAAAUACCUUAUCCAAAUUGGCUCACCCACCUUGUGCCCCAGACUCGGCUGUGAAUGACUCAGCUGUUUCUAGAAUUCAAAUCAACCCUCCAAGACUGAAGUGUGUUUUGUUUUGUUUAUUUGUUAAUGGGAAUAUAUGCAAAACAAUUUGCCACAAGGUUUGAAAGCAGUUCAAACGUUAGUGACACAGAAGUUUGCAUCUCGGCUCUCAAGGUGACUCCUUUCUGGGACCUUUGCAUUCUGAAGGUUGAGAAGAAUCUGGUGCCUGCCGUGUUCUCCUGGUCUGCAGCAGGAGGCCCCGGCCAUCUGCACAAAGUGAGCCACACACUCAGGCCUGCAUGCCCAUGGGAGAAAAAUGUACAGGAUGAAUCAGUGCCUGAAGCAGCCUCAUAGAAUUCCCAAAGGAAAACAGAAAGAAGUGAGCAUUCUCCUGGGCAGGCUGGGUCCUCAAAGAUGCUGAGGUAAGAAGUGAGCUAAACUGCUUAACCACCAGCAAUGAGGCUCCACGCCAGGCCCAUCUGGUGUCCAGAGCUGCCGGCGAAUGGGGCCAAUGACAGUGAGGUCAGUGAUGGUACUGUCUUCUGGAAAGGCCACGUGGGGAGGCUUGGCAAUGGCCAGCCCCCUGGGCGCAGAUGGUGUGGAGGGCCGGGUAGCAGAUGCCGGGCCGAGCAGGUGGGAUUGUGGAGGGGCAGCAGUCAUUACUUGUUGCUUGCUCUCUCGGCUCUCUUCCCUCCGGUUUGUAGACUCAGGGUACUAAGCAGACAUACGCUUUGCAUGGCUGGUGUUCACCAUCACAGCCGCUGCAGGCUGGGAGAUCUCCAUUAGAAAGGUUUUAAUGAGCUCCUCCUAACUGCCAGUGCCUUCCAUCUAGUGAUUCAUUCACUCUCAUCCCACAAACGUUUAUUAAGUACCCGCUAUGUGCCAACGAAGGCGCAAGGAUGCUUAACCAUUUGGGAGCCAAAAGUGAUGAUAAUAUAAAUCUCUUUCUUUGGCCAAACCAGAGAGCAGUGGCGAUUCGGAUUCUUUAUGGGAAAACCCUCACAUCCCCGUCUUUAAUGAAGGCAGAUGGCACACAACAGAUCUGCAGCACAAUAGGUGCUUGUCAUCAGAAGCAUUUUCAUCAAAGUAUUUUCAAGGUCUUUUUUUUUUUUUUUUUUUUUUUUGAGACGGAGUUUCGCUCUGUCGCCCAGGCUGGAGUGCAGUGGCGCGAUCUCGACUCACUGCAAGCUCCGCCUCCCGGGUUCACGCCAUUCUCCUGCCUCAGCCUCCCGUGUAGCUGGGACUACAGGCGCGUGCCACCAUGCCCGGCUAAUUUUUGUAUUUUUAGUAGAGACGGGGUUUCACCGUGUUAGCCAGGAUGGUCUCGAUCUCCUGAUCUCGUGAUCCGCCCGUCUCGGCCUCCCAAAGUGCUGGGAUUACAGGCGUGAGCCACCGCACCCGGCCUUUCAAGGUCUUUAAAACUACUAAACAGCUCCCCAGGGCAUGGCCGUUUCAGGCGUCUGGAUAACAUGUGUUUGGUGUCUAAGGCAGUCGGCCGUCAGCAAAUGCUGAAGGAAACCUGGCGAUGUGAAAAUUGUCAUUAUUUGGUCACCCGAAAAAGUGAAGCUGAGGGCUGGAGGGCAAGGGAAAAGUUAAACCAGGAGUGAAAUCACAUUUCCAUGUGCACUCACACAGGGAGAAUGAGAUUCCACCUCCCUCUUGAUGCACCAGCCCAGCCCUGCAGGUUGAGUAGGAGGUGGUGUGAGAGGGCCCCCCCAGCACAGGCAGAACACCUGGAAGAAGACUUGACUCUGUUUCCUUUUGUGCCCUUCCCACGUCUCCCACCCUGCUGCCCGCUGCCCUGGCUAAUGUGGGCUUGGAUCAUGAAAUGAUUUGGCUCUGUGUCCCCACCCAAAUCUGAAUUAUCACUCCCAUAAUCCCAGUGGGAGGUAAUCAAAUCAUGGGGACGGGUCUUUCCCCUGCUGUUCUCGAGAUAGUGAAUAAGUCUCAGGAGAUCUGAUGAUUUUAUGAAGGGUAGUUCCCCGCACAAGCUCUCUUGCCUGCCACCAUGUAAAAUGUGCCUUUGCUCCUCCUUCACCUUCCACCAUGAUUGGGAGGCCUCCCCCACCAUGUGGAACUGUGAGUGCAUUAAACUCUUUUUCUUUAUAAAUUACCCAGUCUUGAGUAUUUCUUCACAGGAGUGUGAAAAUGGACUAAUACAGAUCAUGAUCCCUGCCACAACCUUGCUUGAGUGUGGCCUACUGGGCCCUUCAUUGUCUAAAUCUGGCUCACAUCUGAGUUUUG
rnacentral:lncRNA from 1 species